AGCCGCCGCCACUCUCUCGCUUCCCCUCGGCAUCUCCUCCCGAUUCAAUCCCCCCGACCACUUCCCUAGUUUUCAGCGCCGCCUAUCACAACAGCCUACCACCAUCCUCCGCCCGAGAAUCUGGUCGUCGCUCCCAACCUCGUCUGCCUGUGCUCUCUCCGCAGUCGCCCGAGGACGCGCCUCCCCUUCCCCGCACAGCCCGUGAGGCACCGGCCUCCUCAGCUCCUCCAGCUCCGCAAGCAUCUCGCCGGAGCACCGAAUCAGGCGUGCCUUCGCCCUUCCCUCUUGUUCCCCUUUCUCCUUCUAUAGCUCUCUCUCACGGCAUCUCUCCCCCGUGCUCUUCUUGCUGCAGGAGCAGCCGUGGACGCCGUCUCGCAAGCAGCAGCCGCCGCCGGCUUCCUCCGUCCCGUCCCAAAUGCUGAACCUAGAGCCCCGACGCCCGCCUCUCUGCCUCGCAGGAGUCACCACCGCGUUGUGUUGCUGGACAGGAGCCGAGCCGUCACCGUCCCAUCAGGAGGACGCCCGCGUCUCGCCACACCUCGACGCUGGCGCGCCUCCACAGCUACACCGGCCGGAUCCUUACCUGGAUGCCCCGUCCCGAUCCCUUCUUCAAGCAUGGCCGCCGCCCGUCUUCUUCAGGCAUGAGCUCCAUCGGGUCCGCCUCCCUGCUGUCGGAGCCCCAUGACCCUAGCGCCUCGCCUCUUCAAACGAACCAGGGACGAACGCCUCAUCGGAGCUCCGCAGGAGCUCAUCGCGCGCCGACCGUCCCGAGCUCCAAUCCGCGACUCCCCUUGCCGGAGUUGAACCCAGGCACCUCCCCGCGCUCAGUUCCGCCCGUUCUGGCCGGUUCCCGUCGACCCUGUCACCAAGACCCUUGCCAUUGUCUUCUCCAUUGCCAUGGCUCUGCUCCUGUUUCUGUUUCUUCAGGAACGAGAACAGCAGCAGCUCGUCUCACACGCGUUGACCGAGCAGAGGGCUAGCAGGCCCAGCAGCGCCCCCCUGCCGACCUCCCCUCUCCACCAGUCGGGCCUUGGCCCAUGUGAGCAGCGCCCAGCCCCUAUCCUGUAUUUGUUGGGCUAGGUGGUUUCAGCCCAUGGACAUAUUUUUUCCCCUGAACGAAUUUAUCUUUUAUUCCAGAGAACCCUGUUUUGCAGAAAAGUCCCUCAACAACAUGCAUAUAAUAACUCACAAUUCGUGCAUCGGUUCUAAAUAAAUUAUAUAUGAAAGUUGCUUAGAAUUUUGUUUAGUUUAAUAAUAUUCAACUUUCAUGUAUGAUUGAAAUGUUUAAAAUGCUAUUUGUUUAAAUUUGCUUAAAUAACUUGUUAAAAUGUUUUAAUUCAUAACUAAUUAA